AGCGAACGCUGGCGGCAGGCCUAACACAUGCAAGUCGAACGAACCUUUCGGGGUUAGUGGCGGACGGGUGAGUAACACGUGGGAACGUGCCUUUAGGUUCGGAAUAACUCAGGGAAACUUGUGCUAAUACCGAAUGUGCCCUUCGGGGGAAAGAUUUAUCGCCUUUAGAGCGGCCCGCGUCUGAUUAGCUAGUUGGUUGAGGUAAUGGCUCACCAAGGCGACGAUCAGUAGCUGGUCUGAGAGGAUGAUCAGCCACAUUGGGACUGAGACACGGCCCAAACUCCUACGGGAGGCAGCAGUGGGGAAUCUUGCGCAAUGGGCGUAAGCCUGACGCAGCCAUGCCGCGUGAAUGAUGAAGGUCUUAGGAUUGUAAAAUUCUUUCACCGGGGACGAUAAUGACGGUACCCGGAGAAGAAGCCCCGGCUAACUUCGUG
rnacentral:rRNA from 1 species